GUAGGUGAACCUGCGGAAGGAUCAUUAUUGAAAUAAACCUGAUGGGUUGUUGCUGGCUCUCUAGGGAGCAUGUGCACGCCUUGUCAUCUUUAUAUCUCCACCUGUGCACCUUUUGUAGACCUUUCGGGGUCUAUGUUGCUUCAUUUUUCCACAAUGUAUGUUAAUAGAAUGUUGUGCCCUGUAUAAUAUAUACAACUUUCAGCAACGGAUCUCUUGGCUCUCGCAUCGAUGAAGAACGCAGCAUCUGACU
rnacentral:misc_RNA from 1 species